UGUCUCUGUGGCGCAAUCGGUUAGCG
rnacentral:piRNA from 3 species